rnacentral:tRNA from 1 species
GCCUUCGUGGUGUAAUGGUCAGCACACUGAGCCGGUAUUUCAGAGGUCGGUGGUUCGAUUCCCGGCGAAGGCC